UGCCCUUCAUUCCAUCCUCCUCCUCCUCCUCCUCCUCCUCUUUCUUCCUCAACCUGCUGGUCGGUGGUGUCUUCGUCGUCUUCGUCCUCCGUUGGCCGCAAGGUGGAGCUCUCCUCCUCCUCCACCUCCUCCUCCUCUUCUCUCCCUGUGACCUCAGAGCCGCUAAGACCUCGUCCUUCCUCCUCCUCCUCUUCCUCCUCUUCUCUCCCUGCGACCUCAGAGCUGCUAAGACCUCGUCCUUCCUCCUCCUCUUCCUCCUCCUCCUCUUCUCUCCCUGUGACCUCAGAGCCGCUAAGGCCUCGUCCUUCCUCCUCCUCCUCCUCUUCUCUCCCUGUGACCUCAGAGCCGCUAAGGCCUCGUCCUUCCUCCUCCUCCUCCUCUUCUCUCCCUGUGACCUCAGAGCCGCUAAGACCUCGUCCUUCCUCCUCCUCCUCCUCCUCUCUCGCUGUAACCACUGAGCUGCUAUGACUUCCCCCUCUUCCUCCUCCUGCUCCUCCUCUUCGCUCACACUCGUGUCUUUCCCCUUCUCCUCCUCCUCCUCUUCCUCCUCCUCCUCAUUGGCUGAGAGCAUGUCGGCCACGCUGCUCUCCGAUUGGCCCUUGGUAGUGGCCGCCACCUCUUCCUCCUCGGCACUUCCCGUCUCCACCCCUUCUGCACCACCAGGAGGAGGGGUCUCGACACUGACGGAGGUCUGCCUCCUGGGAGAAGGGUCCUGCUCCUGCUCCUGCUCCUCCUCCUCCUCGCUCCUCCUCGAGACCGGUGCUCUCUCUCCCGCCGGUCUGGCGAGGUGGCGGGGGAGGAGUCCCAACCAGAUGCCACCUGCGUGACUACUCCCCCGACGACAGCGCCGGCAACCGCGGCUGCGGUGGUCGCCAUGACGACGCCGGCCACGCCCGGUCCGAGUCCUCGCGACGGCUUUGCCUCGCCCUCCUCCCCCGCCUCCUUCCUGUUCAGCGAUUCCUUUUCCUGCUUCCACCCCCCCGGUCGUUUCCUGGCCGGGGGGGUCGGCUUCCUGUCAUCGACAGGAAGUGACGACACAUCGUCGGAUUUGAGAUUGGACGCUUUGUCGGCCGAAGACUUUGGAUCUCCGCCGGAGCGUUUUGUCUGAACCAUUAGUGGCCGGCCUUUGGCCUUUGCUCCCUUGGGCGAGCGAGGCGGAUUGAGCUCGGCGGGUUCCAACUCGACCUCCGACCUUUGGACCGGAACCGCGGCGCUUUGUGCCUUUUCCUUCGUUUUCGUUUUAAGGUGUGACAAAGUCUGAUUUUUUGUGUCCAAUUUCUGGGAACCAUGGGGAUUGGAUGAUGGUCGGGGGCCCUUGGGAUUGGAUGAUGGUCGGGGCCCCUGGGGAUUGGAUGAAGGUCGGGGCCCCUGGGGAUUGGAUGAAGGUCUGGGCCUCUGGGGGUCCGACUGGCCCCAGCUCUUUAAGAGCUCUGUAGGCAGGGCCCGGUGGGGGCUGCAGUCCCCCUUCUGGGUUGAGUGCUGGGGCCCCCAGGGGGUCUGUGGGCCCUUGAUCCCGGUCUCCCGGUUCUCUUUCUUGGGCCCCCCUCGGACGCUCUUAUCGUCGGUGUGCUUACCCUUCCUCUAGUCCCCCCGACGCAAGCAGAAUGGAGGAGAGAGAAAGAGAGAGAGACAGAGAGAGACAGACAGAGACAGAGAGACGGACAGAGACAGACAGACAGACAGACAGACAGACAGACAGACAGAAUAAAGAAAGAGACAAAGAUAGAAAAGGAGAAAAAUAAAAAAAGGAAGAAAGAAAGAAAGA
ensembl:lncRNA